rnacentral:rRNA from 1 species
AUUGAACGCUGGCGGCAGGCCUAACACAUGCAAGUCGAGCGGAUGACGGGAGCUUGCUCCUUGAUUCAGCGGCGGACGGGUGAGUAAUGCCUAGGAAUCUGCCUGGUAGUGGGGGACAACGUUUCGAAAGGAGCGCUAAUACCGCAUACGUCCUACGGGAGAAAGCAGGGGACCUUCGGGCCUUGCGCUAUCAGAUGAGCCUAGGUCGGAUUAGCUUGUUGGUGAGGUAAUGGCUCACCAAGGCGACGAUCCGUAACUGGUCUGAGAGGAUGCUCAGUCACACUGGAACUGAGACACGGUCCAGACUCCUACGGGAGGCAGCAGUGGGGAAUAUUGGACAAUGGGCGAAAGCCUGAUCCAGCCAUGCCGCGUGUGUGAAGAAGGUCUACGGAUUGUAAAGCACUUUAAGUUGGGAGGAAGGGUUGUAGAUUAAUACUCUGCAAUUUUGACGUUACCGACAGAAUAAGCACCGGCUAACUCUGUGCCAGCCGCCGCCGUAA